CUGAGCGGAGCGCAGCCCGCCCUCAGCUCCAGCCACGUCCCGAGUGAGGCGCUGUGGUCCACCGGCUGCAAGCAGUUACUGGCAGGCUGGGAUCGGACUGCGGCUCUUGCGGCCCGCCCGCCAGGCCUGUCGGUGGCGGGCAGCUGACCUGGAAAGCCCGAGAGAG
rnacentral:sRNA from 1 species